rnacentral:rRNA from 1 species
UUAACCGGAUUAGAUACCCUGGUAGUCCACGCCGUAAACGAUGUCGACUUGGAGGUUGUGCCCUUGAGGCGUGGCUUCCGGAGCUAACGCGUUAAGUCGACCGCCUGGGGAGUACGGCCGCAAGGUUAAAACUCAAAUGAAUUGACGGGGGCCCGCACAGGCGGUGGAGCAUGUGGUUUAAUUCGAUGCAACGCGAAGAACCUUACCUGGUCUUGACAUCCACGGAACUUUCCAGAGAUGGAUUGGUGCCUUCGGGAACUGUGAGACAGGUGCUGCAUGGCUGUCGUCAGCUCGUGUUGUGAAAUGUUGGGUUAAGUCCCGCAACGAGCGCAACCCUUAUCCUUUGUUGCCAGCGGUCCGGCCGGGAACUCAAAGGAGACUGCCAGUGAUAAACUGGAGGAAGGUGGGGAUGACGUA